rnacentral:rRNA from 1 species
CAAUAAAUCACAAUGCGGAACUUCUGUUUUGCAAUUGGAUUGAGAACAACGCACAACACUUAUCGAUAAACAAUUGGAGGGCAAGUCUGGUGCCAGCAGCCGCGGUAAUUCCAGCUCCAAUAGCGUAUAUUAACGUUGUUGCAGUUAAAAAGCUCGUAGUUGAAGUGAAGUGUGAAUCUUUUGGAUUUUCGUUUGAAUUUCCUUUAGCUUCAUACUCUUUCCAAAUAGUUUGCAUGGGUAUUUACUUAUCUGUGUAUUGCAUUUGGUCAUUUACUGUGAGAAAAUUAGAGUGUUCAAAGCAUACGUUUGUUUGAAUACAUUAGCAUGGAAUAAUUCGAAAAGGCUUUCAUGUUCGAUUUGAUUGGUUUGUUCGUGAAGGCAAGAUUAAAAGGGACAGUUGGGGGUAUUCAUAUUCAAUAGUCAGAGGUGAAAUUCUCGGAUUUAUGGAAGAUGAACAAGUGCGAAAGCAA